rnacentral:lncRNA from 1 species
UCCUGAGUGCUAGGAUUACAGCAGACAGUACCAUCCAUGGCUUCAGAGAUUUUGAUUUUUAUCUAUAGACGGGAGUGAAUGGAUGACUGGAUGAGAUCUUUAUGAUCCGCCCACCUCUCCUAUUUUCAUUUAUAAAAAUAUUUUAUUGUGUAUGAGUGUUUUAUUUGCAUACAUGUCUGUGUACCACAUGGCUGGUACCUCUGGAGGCCAGAAGAGGGCAUUGAAUCCCCUGGAACUGGAGUUGAAGAAGGUUAUGAGCUGCCCUGUGACUUCUGAGAAUUGAUCCCUGGACCUCUGGAAGAGCUCUUAACUACUGAGCCAUCUCUCCAGCCCCUCCCCUACUUCUAAUUUUUUUUCUUUUUUUCUUUUAAUUUUUUAAGAUUCAUCUCAUGGGCCGGAGAGAUGGUUCAGCAGUUAAGAGCACUGUCUGCUCUUCCAGAGGUCCUGAGUUCAAUUCCCAGUAACCACAUGGGGACUCACAACCAUCUGUAAUGGGAUCUGAUACCUUCUUCUGGUGUGUCUGAAGAGAGCAACAGUGUACUCACACAAAAUGAAUAAUAAAUCUUUAAAAAAAGAGAGAGAUUCAUUUCAUUAUGUAUACAGUGUUCUGCCUGUGUGUAUGCCUAAAUGCCAGAAGAGGGCAACUAGAUCUCAUUGUAGGUGAUUAUGAGCCACCAUGUGGUUGCUGGGAAUUGAACUCAGGACCUCUGGAAGAGCAGUCAGUGCUCUUAACCGCUGAGCCAUCUCUCCAGUCCUAAAUUACUUUUUUUUUAAUUUGAUUUUUGUGAUAGGGCUUUUCAGUGUACAACUUGCUGGCUGUCCUAGAGCUCACUCUGUAGACCAGGCUGUUUUCAAAAUUAGAGAUCUGCCUGCCUACACCUCCCUAGAAUUAAAGGCGUGCAUCACCACACCCAACAAGGCUUUAACUUUUUAAAUAUCUCUCGCCUUAGGAAGAUGGGGGAUGGAACAAAACAUUAAUCCUUGAGGCUUACUUCAUCCACUGUGAUUUCUCCAGCAGGAAGUGGGAAAGACUGAUAACAGUGGUUUCAGAAGAGAGGGAUGCCAUGGGCUGUUGCUUUUGGUGGGUUUUUGUCUUGAUAACUUACAGUCUAAGUAAAGCUAGGGGCCACUGAGCUUGGUAGAUUUACAAAGCAGGUAGAUCAUUGUGAUGUGUAGAGAUGGGAAGCAGUGGGCGCAUGUGACUGUGGGGGAACUGGGAUGUGAAGAUGUUUGAAGCACAGGACCAAGAGGAUUCAAAUGCUGUCUUUCUUACAGUGUGCCCCGGCACUUCAUCCCUGCUGUGGUAUGUAUUGUAUAUUAAAUAGUCUUAGUCAGGGUUUGUAUUUCUGCACAAAACAUCAUGACCAAGAAGCAAGUUGGGGAGGAAAGGGUUUAUUCGGCUUACACUUCCAUACUGCUGUUCAUCACCAAAGGAAGUCAGGAAUAGAACUCAAGCAGGUCAGGAAGCAGGAGCUGAUGCAGAGGCCAUGGAGGGAUGUUACUUACUGGCUUGCUUCCCCUGGCUUGCUCAGCUUGCUCUUUUAUAGAAUCCAAGACUACCAGCCCAGGGAUGGCACCAUCCACUAGUUGAAAAAAUGCCUUACAGCUGAAUCUCAUGGAGGCAUUUCCUCCUCAAGGGAGGCUCCUUCUCUGUGAUAACUCCAGCUUGUGUCAAGUUGACACGUAAAACUAGUACAAGCACUCUGUCUUAAAUAAAGUUCCUAUGUUUAGCGUGCAUGCGGGCACCACAGUCAAGGCCAGAAUGAACACCAAAUGUCUUCUAAGUCUCUGUCCACCUCAUGUUUUAGAGACAGUGUCUCUUGCUUAACUUAGAGCUGGCCAUUUUAGCUAGACUGGCCACAGGCAUCUCCCUGCCUUCUGCCUUCCCAGGCUAGCAUUGAAGGUGGCUUUCACAUGGGGUCAGGUCUUUCUGUUUACCAACAGAGACAACAACUCAGCCCAUGAGGUUAAAAAAAAAAGUAAAGUAUGUAGUUAAGUUCCUUGUUAUCAGUCUCAGUAUGAAGUAGCCUUUUCUGUGAUUGAUAAAAUAAUCCUGCAUUAUUUUUUACUUAUUUUUUGUUUAUAUCUUGAAUGAAUGAGUUGUUUUGUUUUGGCUUUUUUUUUUUUUAAAGGAUUUAUUUUAUGUAUAUGGGUACACUGUCGCUGUCUUUGGAUAGACCAGAAGAGGGCAUCAGAUCCCAUUAUAGAUGGUUGUGAGCCACCAUGUGGUUGCUGGGAAUUGAACUCAGGACUAUCUGGAAGAGCAGUCAGUGCUUUUAACCACUGAGCCAUCUCCCUCGCCCUUGAGUGAAUGAGUUUUAAGUCUUAUUUCAGAACUCUGAUGGCGUGAGAUGCCCUAUCUGUUUUGAGUCUUGGUAGGAAUAGUGACUAGCUUGCAGUUUCCUUUUGUGAGUCCUUUACUAGUUUUAACAAAUUGGUAUGAGUUUGAAGAUGGUGGAGGAGUGAGUAUGCUUUUGUGAUAUCCUAGUGUGGAGACAGGCAGGCUUUCUUUCUCAUGAUGCCAGGACGGUUAAAUUUACCAGUUACUAGUUAUCUCAGCAGGUAGUGGUAAUUCAUUUAUUUUUAAGCAUCUCAGUUCACUUUCCUUUUUAUGAACAAAGAUAAAUAAAUACUGUAAAUGCUUGCCUAGCAACCUUUUUGCAUCCUUUGAUUUUUUUUUUUGGUUGUUUAUUUAUUUUGAAACAGAAUUUCUCUUCGUAGACCAGGCUAGCCUCAAACUUAGAGACCUGGGUGCCUAUGCCUCACACCUGGCUAAGGUGAUUUUUAAAGUUCUGUAACAAACAUAACUUUAAAGGCAUUGAGCAAAGCUCUCUGAGAAAUAAUCUGUUCCUCCUCCUGAUGCUGGUUUUCAUGCCACCAUAAGCUCUGUAGGGACAAUGGUGGGGUCAGCUUUUUCUUCCUUCAAACACAUUCCAUCAACAGAACCAUGAUCUGUACACAAGGAGAUAGAUGGGGCAGUGAAGCCAGGCUGUGUCUCUCAGCAUAUCUGAGUUCAGUUUUGUAGCAAAGUGGAAAGACUGUCCACAAACACCUACAUCCACACCAUCUGGAUUCUGCCAUCAACACCUGUUACUGGGUUGUUGGUUUGUUGUUGUUGUUGUUUUGUUUGUUUGUUUUUCAUGUCUGUCAGUCCAUUAGUGUAUCUCGUUUUCAGUCCAUUUCAAGAGUUUUUCUGUCCUGUUGGGUCGCUGAAAUAGCUAACGUAAUGGGUAAAGACAUCAGCCACCAACCCUCAUGACAUCGUAGAAAACAAGAACUUUCUAUACUGUCACAAAACCUAAUUUGUUCAUGGGCACUGUAGUAACAGUUCUGGGAUUGUGGUUUCUUUAAAAAACACAGAAAUAAAAGAGUGUGCUUUCAUUUGAAUCUCAGGUAUGGAUUGCUUCAGGCUGUCUGCAGCAGCUGACUAUGAUUUGCCCUGUGCUCUAGCAGAGGCAUGGUUUUGCCAGCUGUGGAUAGUUUCUGUAAUUGUAUGAUGUUUGGAAUUCUGGGAACUUGACGGGGUAUAUAAAUGUGAGGGCUCCUGAGCGGUAGCUUUGGGGGUUGGUAUUUGGGGGUGGGGGGAAGAGGUUUAGUGCGGUUUAUUACUAG